UACUCGAGUGGCGAACGGGUGAGUAACACGUGGGUGAUCUGCCCUGCACUUCGGGAUAAGCUUGGGAAACUGGGUCUAAUACCGGAUAGGAGCCAUCUUUAGUGUGGUGGUUGGAAAGUUUUUUCGGUGUAGGAUGAGCCCGCGGCCUAUCAGCUUGUUGGUGGGGUGAUGGCCUACCAAGGCGACGACGGGUAGCCGGCCUGAGAGGGUGAUCGGCCACAUUGGGACUGAGAUACGGCCCAG
rnacentral:rRNA from 1 species